rnacentral:sRNA from 1 species
GCGGCGCGGACUUUGUAAACACUUCGCCACUGCAGGGGUGGAGACUGGCUCUGUUCGGAUGCCGGCCGGGGGGGAGAGGUGCAAUCCUCUCCUCGCGGCUGGUGGUUGCGACCACCCCCACUCCCCAAAGGCAGGCUCCGGAGGCGGCGGGACAGAGCGCCUGCGACCCCAGUCGGUGCUCCGGGGAGGUCACCUGGCGAGGAGGACUGGGAGGUGCUGGUCCUAGGGAAGCUCAAGUGGGACCUGGCUGCUGUGAUUGCACAUGAUUUCCUGGCCCUCAUUCUGCACCGGCUCUCUCUGCCCCGUGACCGACAGGCCUUGGUCAAAAAGCAUGCCCAGACCUUUUUGGCCCUCUGUGCUACAGGACUGCCUGCGGGCCUGUCAGGAGCAGAUCGAAGCUGCACUCAGGGAGAGCCUCAGGGAAGCCGCUCAGACCAGCUCCAGCCCAGCGCCCAAAGCCCCCCGGGGCUCCAGCAGCCAAGGGCCCAGCCAGACCAGCACUCCUACAGAUGUCACAGCCAUACACCUGUAGCCCUGGAGAGGCCCUCUGGAGUGGCCACUAAGCAGAGGAGGGGC